GAUGGAGGGGGAUAACUACUGGAAACGGUAGCUAAUACCGCAUAACGUCGCAAGACCAAAGAGGGGGACCUUCGGGCCUCUUGCCAUCGGAUGUGCCCAGAUGGGAUUAGCUAGUAGGUGGGGUAACGGCUCACCUAGGCGACGAUCCCUAGCUGGUCUGAGAGGAUGACCAGCCACACUGGAACUGAGACACGGUCCAGACUCCUACGGGAGGCAGCAGUGGGGAAUAUUGCACAAUGGGCGCAAGCCUGAUGCAGCCAUGCCGCGUGUAUGAAGAAGGCCUUCGGGUUGUAAAGUACUUUCAGCGGGGAGGAAGGGAGUAAAGUUAAUACCUUUGCUCAUUGACGUUACCCGCAGAAGAAGCACCGGCUAACUCCGUGCCAGCAGCCGCGGUAAUACGGAGGGUGCAAGCGUUAAUCGGAAUUACUGGGCGUAAAGCGCACGCAGGCGGUUUGUUAAGUCAGAUGUGAAAUCCCCGGGCUCAACCUGGGAACUGCAUCUGAUACUGGCAAGCUUGAGUC
rnacentral:rRNA from 1 species